GUUUAAUUUUGGUUAGUGGACACCAUAUGUGUGGGGAACUACUGAAGUUCCCUACUAUUUCGGCUUGUCUAUACUAUAAAUACCAGGUUUCACACUGUCAGUAGGUUUCACUUUAUGCUUCUCAGACGAUAAUUAUUACUCCUUUGAAAAUUUUAUUAGUAGUCUGCACCUUUUCCCCAACCAACAGUGACAAACAUAGAAUAUUUUUUCAAUGAUUCAUAUGCUUCUUUUGCUUGACACCAGCAAACAAUAUAUAGCUAUUUGGAUAGUAAGCCUUAAGGCUUAAGGUGGAAUAAAGGACCAUCAUGCAAUGA
rnacentral:misc_RNA from 1 species